rnacentral:lncRNA from 1 species
GACAUUUCGUUCUCAGCUCGGGGAUUCCAAGACUGUGUGGAUGAAAACAUCCUGCCUCUGCUGUCCACAGUUGGCUGUGUCAUGGCAGCACUGGCAAACCACAUACCGAAGACCACACCGCCCUCUGCGACCUUGGCCUUGAGCAGCUGGUGACCUGGUUCACCACACUUGGGGCCUGGAUGUCCCAGCGCCAGCUCAUUGGCCAGGUUCACCCGAGCUGGGGCAAGCAUGUGGGGGACACUGUGCUCUGGUUUGGACCCAGAAGGUGAUGGAUCACGGGGCGCUGUGCUCAUGGACGAGUUCCUGGCCGAAUGUGCUGUAGGAGUGCCUCACUAGGUAGAUCUGGCUGACCUCCAACUCUCAGGGAUCCUCCUGCAUCAGCUUCCUGAGUGCUAGAUCACAGGCAUGCACCGUCACGCUGGCUUCCUCUAACCCUCAUCGUACGCUCUCCCCGCAUGCUUUCUUCUCCAAGGAGAAUUUAAGCCCUGACUCACUGCAUGGGAG